rnacentral:rRNA from 1 species
UGGAGAGUUUGAUCCUGGCUCAGGAUGAACGCUGGCGGCGUGCUUAACACAUGCAAGUCGAACGGUGAAGCCAAGCUUGCUUGGUGGAUCAGUGGCGAACGGGUGAGUAACACGUGAGCAACCUGCCCUGGACUCUGGGAUAAGCGCUGGAAACGGCGUCUAAUACUGGAUAUGAGACGUGAUCGCAUGGUCGUGUUUGGAAAGAUUUUUCGGUCUGGGAUGGGCUCGCGGCCUAUCAGCUUGUUGGUGAGGUAAUGGCUCACCAAGGCGUCGACGGGUAGCCGGCCUGAGAGGGUGACCGGCCACACUGGGACUGAGACACGGCCCAGACUCCUACGGGAGGCAGCAGUGGGGAAUAUUGCACAAUGGGCGGAAGCCUGAUGCAGCAACGCCGCGUGAGGGAUGACGGCCUUCGGGUUGUAAACCUCUUUUAGCAGGGAAGAAGCGAAAGUGACGGUACCUGCAGAAAAAGCGCCGGCUAACUACGUGCCAGCAGCCGCGGUAAUACGUAGGGCGCAAGCGUUAUCCGGAAUUAUUGGGCGUAAAGAGCUCGUAGGCGGUUUGUCGCGUCUGCUGUGAAAUCCCGAGGCUCAACCUCGGGCCUGCAGUGGGUACGGGCAGACUAGAGUGCGGUAGGGGAGAUUGGAAUUCCUGGUGUAGCGGUGGAAUGCGCAGAUAUCAGGAGGAACACCGAUGGCGAAGGCAGAUCUCUGGGCCGUAACUGACGCUGAGGAGCGAAAGGGUGGGGAGCAAACAGGCUUAGAUACCCUGGUAGUCCACCCCGUAAACGUUGGGAACUAGUUGUGGGGACCAUUCCACGGUUUCCGUGACGCAGCUAACGCAUUAAGUUCCCCGCCUGGGGAGUACGGCCGCAAGGCUAAAACUCAAAGGAAUUGACGGGGACCCGCACAAGCGGCGGAGCAUGCGGAUUAAUUCGAUGCAACGCGAAGAACCUUACCAAGGCUUGACAUAUACGAGAACGGGCCAGAAAUGGUCAACUCUUUGGACACUCGUAAACAGGUGGUGCAUGGUUGUCGUCAGCUCGUGUCGUGAGAUGUUGGGUUAAGUCCCGCAACGAGCGCAACCCUCGUUCUAUGUUGCCAGCACGUAAUGGUGGGAACUCAUGGGAUACUGCCGGGGUCAACUCGGAGGAAGGUGGGGAUGACGUCAAAUCAUCAUGCCCCUUAUGUCUUGGGCUUCACGCAUGCUACAAUGGCCGGUACAAAGGGCUGCAAUACCGUAAGGUGGAGCGAAUCCCAAAAAGCCGGUCCCAGUUCGGAUUGAGGUCUGCAACUCGACCUCAUGAAGUCGGAGUCGCUAGUAAUCGCAGAUCAGCAACGCUGCGGUGAAUACGUUCC